CCGGGUUUCAACAGAGGAACUAUCAAUGGAGCUUUGAUUAGCCCCCAAAUGAGUCCAAUUUGGGCUCCAAUGUCAUCGCUAGACACCUGGAAUGAUUCUGGUAUUAUGAAUUUUGGUGAAUCUUCAGCCAUCUCUGUGUUUCUAUAUCUCAACAGAGCAGAAGAAAACAGAGGAAAUAGGAGAUAAGAUGAUGAUAGGUG
rnacentral:misc_RNA from 1 species